rnacentral:rRNA from 1 species
GGCAGACGGGUGAGUAACAUGUGGGAAUCUGCCUUGUGGUUCAGGACAACAUUGGGAAACCGAUGCUAAUACUGGAUAAGCCCUUACGGGGAAAGUUUUAAUGCCAUAAGAUGAGCCCGCACUUGAUUAGUUAGUUGGUGAGGUAAUGGCUCACCAAGACAAUGAUCAAUAGCUGAUCUGAGAGGAUGAUCAGCCACACUGGGACUGAGACACGGCCCAGACUCCUACGGGAGGCAGCAGUGGGGAAUCUUGCACAAUGGAGGAAACUCUGAUGCAGCGAUGCCGCGUGAGUGAAGAAGGCCUUUGGGUUGUAAAGCUCUUUUGUAGGGGAAGAUAAUGACUGUACCCUAAGAAUAAGGUCCGGCUAACUUCGUGCCAGCAGCCGCGGUAAUACGAAGGGACCUAGCGUAGUUCGGAAUUACUGGGCGUAAAGCGCGCGUAGGCCGUUGAGUUAGUUAAUUGUGAAAUCCCAAAGCUUAACUUUGGAACUGCAAUUAAAACUGCUCGACUAGAGUUUGAUAGAGGAAAGCGGAAUACAUAGUGUAGAGGUGAAAUUCGUAGAUAUUAUGUAGAACACCAGUUGCGAAGGCGGCUUUCUGGAUCAACACUGACGCUGAGGCGCGAAAGUAUGGGUAGCAAAGAGGAUUAGAUACCCUCGUAGUCCAUACCAUAAACGAUGAUUGCUAGAUGUU